UCAUUUAAAUUUAAAUUAAAAUUUUAUUUUUUAGUCAAAAAGCUAAAAUUUUAUUAAAAGACGAGAAGACCCUAUAAAUCUUUAUAUUUAUAUUUAUUUUAAUUUUUAAGGAUUAAUUUUAUUAUAAUAAAGAUAAAUAUUUUAUUGGGGUGAUAUUAAAAUUUAAUUAACUUUUAAUUUGUAUAUUACAUUGAUUUAUGAUUUAUUGAUCCAUUAAUAAUGAUUAGAAAAUUAAGUUACUUUAGGGAUAACAGCGUAAUUUUUUUGGAGAGUUCUUAUCGAUAAAAAAGUUUGCGACCUCGAUGUUGGAUUAAGAGAUAGUUUUAAUGCAGAAGUUAAAAUGUAAAGUCUGUUCGACUUUUAAAUUCUUACAUGAUCUGAGUUCAAACCGGUGUGAGCCAGGUUGGUUUCUAUCUUUAAUUUUAUAUAAUAUUUUAGUACGAAAGGAAUUUAUAUUAGAAAUAAUUUUUAGUUAAUGAAU
rnacentral:rRNA from 1 species